AUGGAGGAGACGCCAAAAACACUAGUGACUGUAUUACUUGAUGAAAAGGAGAUAUGCAAAAAACUUCAGCAUCUCAAGAGUGUAGCAGAAAUAAUUGAUGCUUCCAAAUGUCUCCUACCAUGUGCUGCAGAGUACCACAGAAUUUUGAAAUUUAAUGCUGAUUUUAAUGAAUUUAUUGACACUGACCUAACUGAAAAAGUGGAAAACAAGGAUAAGUUUCAAGUUUUGUUUAAGUCAAUUCAGAGAACUGGAUCACAGGCAUUGAAUGGAAAGGGGGAUGCCGAUGCAGCCAGUCCAAGUCAUCAAUAGAAAGUUGCACCAAAGAACAUACCAGAACCUGGUUCAAGUAGUCAACAGAAGGUUUGUAAGUAAGUGCUGAAAUAACAGCACUCUGUUCACUAUUUGUAUUACUCUGUUUGACUUUGUUUGCCCAUUCCAGAGAAAAUUUGUACAUUUUGCCAGUUCAUGUUGACAAGUGUCUUCAUAAGUGAGUUUAACCAGUUCAU